AAUGAUCAACCCUCCCCUCCUUGUGGAAGGUGGGGGUUGGAGCUUGGGGGUCUGUGCUGCCGAGAAGGCGGCUCCCCUCAAAUGUGUCGGUCAGGCCUGCGGGUCAAACUCGGACCGGGCGUCGUACCAUCCUCGCUCUUCUGGGAACCGUGCCGCGACCAAGGCUGCCUGUGGAGUGGCUGCCAGCUUUCCGUUCUGAA
rnacentral:misc_RNA from 1 species